CACGCCGUAAACGAUGAGUGCUAAGUGUUAGGGGGUUUCCGCCCCUUAGUGCUGAAGUUAACGCAUUAAGCACUCCGCCUGGGGAGUACGACCGCAAGGUUGAAACUCAAAGGAAUUGACGGGGGCCCGCACAAGCGGUGGAGCAUGUGGUUUAAUUCGAAGCAACGCGAAGAACCUUACCAGGUCUUGACAUCCUCUGACAACCCUAGAGAUAGGGCUUCCCCUUCGGGGGCAGAGUGACAGGUGG
rnacentral:rRNA from 1 species